AGAGUUCUAUAACUCCCAAACCCAUGUGAACAUACCUAACGUUGCCUCGGCAGGUCGCACCUACCUUGUAGCACCUUACCCUGUAAGGCCUACCCGGGAGGUGCGGGUAAGCCUGCCGGCGGCCCACCAAACUCUGUUUGAUAUUGAAUUCUGAACCUAUAACUAAAUAAGUUAAAACUUUCAACAACGGAUCUCUUGGUUCUGGCAUCGAUGAAGAACGCAGCGAAAUGCGAUAAGUAAUGUGAAUUGCAGAAUUCAGUGAAUCAUCGAAUCUUUGAACGCAUAUUGCGCCCAUUAGUAUUCUAGUGGGCAGGACCGUUCGAGCGUCAUUUCAACCCUUAAGCCUUCGUUGCUUAGUGUUGGGAGCCUACGGCAACGUAGCUCCUCAAAGUUAGUGGCGGAGUUGGUUCACACUCUAGACGUAGUAAUUUUUUAUAUCGCCUAUUAGUUGAACUAAUACCCUGCCGUAAAACCCCCAAUUUAUCAAGGUUGACCUCGAAUCGGUUCAGACAAACUCGCUAAAUUGAAGCAUCUUAGUCAGCGAAGGAAAAGAAACCAACAGGGAUUGCCCUAGUAACGGCGAGUGAAGCGGCA
rnacentral:rRNA from 1 species